GUAUAAUUCUGCAUACAAUAUUUUCAGUGCAUAGCAUAAGAUUAUUGAACAAUACAUAACCAUUUAUGAACUGUAUUUAUUCUUGUCAGUUACAAUGAUUCCUAUGGAUUUUUUUUAAGACUAACUCUUUCCACAACGCUUCCUCAGAACCAGUUGCAGACUUUUACAGUACUAUGUCCUCAAAAUGGUUUGCUUUGCAGACAUUUGGGGGAUAAGUAUGUGUAACCAGGAAGGCCCACUUCCCUAGUUUAGGGUGCAAAUAUGAUGAUUCUUCUUCUAUAUUCCAACAGAUUGUGUCCGCUCCACAUACUCAUGUUAGCAGGAGGUCCAGCAUAAAACUUUGAGAACUGUACCACCCCAAAUGUCCAAGGUCUGAGAAGCUUACUUGGUCUCAAUUAAGUGGCCUGUCCUGCUUACAGAUGCCAGGCCAUGGGGCUUGCCCACAAGCUGGCCUUGGUGUUUGGCGUCAUUGGUUCCCGUUGCUGAGACAGUGUUGUAUCUGAAGUUUGUCUCUCCCUGGUCCUGACUCCAACUCAGUUCACGAAGGAUUUCAUACCUAAAUGGAAUUGCCAAGUUCAGCGAUAAUACACAUCUUCCACACUGCCAACUCUCUCUCCAGAGUGGUUGAACAACUUACCGAGCCACCAGCAGCAUGAGAAUUCUUCAUAUUCCACCGCAAAACUUGGUUAUAGCAGCCUUGAAAAAUACAUCAUUACAGCCUCUCCUUCCUCUUCUCUGGGUUGAUCUGGAUGGGAUAGGAUUGGUCUGACCUUGAAGGGUUGGUAAGGUUUUUGUGAAAAAUUAUCUGGGACUGCUGUUCCUUUAUGGUAGUAUUUGCUGCUUAGAUUGUGUUGGGAACCUAGUUCGAUGUGA